rnacentral:lncRNA from 1 species
AGUGCAAUCUCUUUCGCUUCAAUUACUGGAAAUUGAAUUUUGUCACCGUUCAUACGCGUGGGUUUCAUUGCCUUCACGGGCGCGUAUCCUUUUAAGAUCCAUAGCCCGUGAGCCUCUGUGGCGUAGGAGAACCCGAGGUAGCGCGUGGGUUUCAUUGCCUUUACAGGCGCGUAUCCUUUUAAGAUCCAUAACCCGUGAGCUUCGGUGGCAUACGAGAAUCCGAGGUAAUGAGAUGCUAACGGCGUUAACGACUUUAAUCCUACGCCGCCAACUUCCCUUAAAAUCAGCCAUUUUGCUAACAUGUACCCGAACGUGCGCAUGAAACAGAGUUCCACGUCAGUCCCGACCGAAAUGAAGAAGGU